UGAGUAAUGUAUCGGAACGUAUCCGGAAAUGGGGGAUAACGUAGCGAAAGUUACGCUAAUACCGCAUAUGCCCUGAGGGGGAAAGGUGGGGAUCGCAAGACCUAUCGUUUUCGGAGCGGCCGAUAUCAGAUUAGCUAGUUGGUGGGGUAAAGGCCUACCAAGGCGACGAUCUGUAGCUGGUCUGAGAGGACGACCAGCCACACUGGGACUGAGACACGGCCCAGACUCCUAUGGGAGGCAGCUAGUGGGGAAUUUUGGACAAUGGGGGCAACCCUGAUCCAGCCAUGCCGCGUGAGUGAAGAAGGCCUUCGGGUUGUAAAGCUCUCUCGGACGGAAAGAAAUCGCGCCAGCUAAUAUCUGGUGUGGAUGACGGUACCGUAAGAAGAAGCACCGGCUA
rnacentral:rRNA from 1 species